rnacentral:rRNA from 1 species
UACAGAGGUGGCAAGCGUUGUUCGGAAUUACUGGGCGUAAAGGGCGAGUAGGCGGCCUUCUAAGUCAGACGUGGAAUCCCCCGGCUUAACCUGGGAACUGCGUCUGAUACUGGGAAGCUAGAGUAUGGGAGAGGGAUGUAGAAUUCCAGGUGUAGCGGUGAAAUGCGUAGAUAUCUGGAGGAAUACCGGUGGCGAAGGCGGCAUCCUGGACCAUUACUGACGCUGAACCGCGAAAGCUAGGGGAGCAAACGGG